GACGAAGGUGGCUAGCGUUGUUCGGAAUCACUGGGCUUAAAGCGCAUGUAGGCGGCCCGUCAAGCGCUUUGUGAAAUCCCCCGGCUUAACCGGGGAACUGCUUGGCGAACUGACGGACUUGAGGCAGGUAGGGGCACGCGGAACUCUUGGUGGAGCGGUGGAAUGCGUAGAUAUCAAGAGGAACGCCAGAGGCGAAAGCGGCGUGCUAGGCCUGUCCUGACGCUGAGAUGCGAAAGCCAGGGGAG
rnacentral:rRNA from 1 species